AGAGCACGAAAGCAAAGUUUGCUGACUGAAGACUUUCACUGCCGCUGACCGGGCCUCCCUGUCAUGAGAAUGAAAAUUAUUUUCUGCUUGUCAAAAAAUAUUUCCAGGGUAGAUCCUGUGUUGUAAGUCAGACAGAUAAGGACAGCAAUUUCGAUUGCCUCCUUCUUGCCUGCGUAGCGGGUGCACAUUUGCAGCCUCGUACAGCUUAGAUGCUAUCUGCAGAGACUGAGCCUUGGGAAGGUUGCCCCCACCCCCACAACAUCUCUCCUCCAGGUAAGUGACAGAGCUGAGGUCCUGGGUCUGGCAACACAAACUCUCCUGCUCGCUGAAGCCCUACCCUCCCAGAGACUGGAGAGAGAGAGAGAACUAGUCACCAUCUGGGAAGAAUUAGAGAUUUUUAUAAAAAGCCUGAUGUGGGAAUGAGAAAACCUUCAUUUGGGGCUUUGUAAUCAGUGAAGCAGAAACAUAACCUUCCUCCUUGCAGACAUUUCUGGACUCCCCGGAGAUACCUGACUAUGUACCCAACAAAUUGCUGAGGAAUCAAGUGUACGGCUUUAAACCUCCCCAUCCCCACUAGCCAGAGAAUGCUGUGUGCUGCGGCUGGGCGGGGGGCCAGGGGGGUGAACUUUACUGCUUCUUGGAUCCCAGUUCCGGUCCCUUGCCUUAACAGAGCCCAGACUUGUCAUUGGAGAGGAAGGGGGAGGCUGAGGUCACUGCCCUUCUCUUGUUUCUGCUCAGAGUGCUGCUCUUCCCCAGGGAGGUGGCAGGGCUCGGGCAGCUUUGCACCCUGCUGGCUGUGGGGUGGGAGCAGCUGAGGGGGAUCUUAAAAAGGGAAGUGGGAGAGGCAGACCCCCCCCACACUGGGUGAGGGGGAAGACAAGACACCCUUGGCCAAAGCCAAGCAUCUAGACUUCAUUUGUGGCUGUUCGGGUAGAAGUGAUACAAAGAGCCCUAAAACCAGCGGGGUCUGGCCUGAGUCCCAGCUGGAUAUCUGCAGACAGGGACAGACACCUCACCUCUCGGAUUCCAACCUGCACAGAGAGGGUCACUGGACUUUCCCACAGUCCUUCUCGGGUGCAGUGAUAAAGCAGGAAUAUAUUCAUUUUCUACUAUUGCUGAACAAAUUGUCACAAAGUUAUCUGCUUAAACCAACACCCGUUGAUUAUUUCACAGCUUUACAGGUCAGAAGUUCAGGUGGGCUCAGCUGGGUUCCCACUGAGGAGGGUCUCAUAAGGCCAAAAAUCAAGAAGUGAACAUCUAGAAGCUCUGGGAGAGAAUCUACUCCCAAGCACACUCAGGUUAUAGCAGAAUUCCUCUCUCUCAGAUCCUCUUCAUAUGGUCCCUCCAUCUUCAAGUACCAUCUUCAAGGUACCUUGAGUCCCCCCACACACACAUGUUUGAAACCAAUGACUUCUUGUCAUGCAUGUCAUGCCACCAGCCAGAGAAAACCCUCUGUCUCUAUGAGGCUUCUGGGACGAAUUUCAGGCCACCUACCAGGCAAUCUCUCUCUUGAUAAGCUCACUCACCUAAUUCAUAGUCUGUUAAUUGUGUCUUUGAAAUCCCUUUGGCCACAUAAUGGUACAGAGUCAUGGGCUUGCCGCCUCAUUCUAUUCAAGGAUCAGAAUGUGGAAUCUUAGGAGCCACAGUAAAACUUCUGCCUGCUACUGAGAACAAAACCACUUGUCAUCUUUAAAGUGCUGGAUUUGGGUGCUUUUUUUGGAGUGGGGGGGGAUACUGGGGAUUGAACUCAGGGGCACUCGACCACUGAGCCACAUCCCCAGCCCUAUUUCGUAUUUUAUUUAGAGACAGGGUCUCAUUGAGUUGCUUAGUGACUUGCCAUUGCUGAGGCUGACUUUGAACUCAUGAUCCUCCCGCCUCAGCCUCCCCAGCCACCAGGAUUACAGGCGAGCACUACCCUCCAGGCUGUGUUUGGAUUCUUAUCAUGGACUUUCCUCCUCUUGCCCCAGUUGCUCAGAGGAGAGGGUGGCACUGAGUUGGGUGGCUUUCACCCCUGACUCCUUUGUCUCCCCCUCUUCUCUCGUCUGCCCCUGGACUUUUCAUCACCUGAGAAGGCAGCCCUGCCUCAGGACCCCUGGGACUUUGCUCCUGUCCAUUAUGUCUCCCUUCCAGAGCUUCAGCCACCUCAUCUCACCCAGGUUCUUGCCUGGGCCCUGACCCUCCUCUGUACUGUUGUACUGUGCCAUCUACGUGCCCUGUGCCACCAGCAACACUCUCCUGCUCCCUUCCUGACCACUGGAGUCACCUCUACCAGCUCCCACUGCCUUAACCUGCUCUCUGUCCCCUUACCCCAGUGAGCACCUGACAAGCCACAUUUCCCAGGCCUAUGGUGACAGAGCAGAUGGAGUCUGCCUGGUCCCCUGCUGUGUUCCCAACACCCAGCCUCGUGCCAGGACUGUAGCAGGCACUCUAACAAACAUUUGGUGUGGUUUCUCUAAGUUCAUGUAUCUGUGUGGUCCAUUUGCUGAAGUGCCCCAACUUGAGCGUAUGUCACCGUGGCCCUUUCAUCAUGUGAAGCCCCAGGUCCCUCUCUGCCUCAGCCAGAGGACAGUGACCAAAGGGAGCCUGGGUAAGUGGGUCCAUGGGGAGGAAAUGCUGCCACUGGCUCUACUCUGACCUACACCACAUAUCACACACACACACACACACACACACCAGACACUCUGUGUUCCCUAGGUUGUGGCCGGGGUGGGCAAGAGCCGCCACCCCACAUGCUCUCCAUACCUGGCCUCACUCAGCUGAUCUCCAGGGGUUUACUUGUGCUGGCCUUGAUCUUUAUUCAUUCCAUCCCUGAAUUUAGGCCUGUGUUCUCUUCCCCCAGGGAUCCACCCACUUCCUCUUGGGAGCCCAGCCGAGGACAGUGUGGUUUGAAGAACAUCCUAAUCCCAGCCCCAAAGCUCUGAAAGAAAAAAUGACUAAAAACUCUGGAAUGUGGAGCCUGCUGCUUCCUGCGAAGCACUUUGAAUGAAACACGUAACCAACAGCUGCAGUUCAGAGAAUGGAAACUCUGAAGGACGUCAUGGCUCCGGGACCCAAAGAGCAGGGUUGUGAGCAGAUCAAGGUCUUGAUUUCUGCCCAGCCCAGACUCUCUGUGCCCGUCCCUCCUGCUCUUCUUCCAGGAACCAGGCCCAUCCUGCUAAGGAUAUCCUUCUGUUGCUCCCUCAUUUCAAACACGCCACGACCCCCAGCAGCCUUGGGUCUUUGAGUGUGGUGGGUUAGAUCCCACACGCAUUCACCAGUGCCCAGUGCCCAGUGCCCACCGCCCUGCCCCUCUGCCCUCUCAGGAGCAGAGGGUGAACAUGGCGCCCAUGCUGGGACUCAGCCCAGACCAUGCCUGAUGAUGAAAGGCGGCUCAUGCAAGCAGACAGAUAUGGUUACCCAGGCCGGGCACCAGGGCACACACCUGUAAUCCCAACAGUUUAGGGGGCUGAGGCAGGAGGAUCCCAAGUCCAAGUCCAGCCUCAGCAACUUAGUGAGGCUCUAAGCAACUUAGCGAGGUCUUGUCUAAAAAAUAAAAAGAGUUGAGGGUGUGUGUGUCUCAGUGGUUAAGUGCCUUGGGUUCAAUCCCCGUUACAAAAAAAAAAAAAAAAAGGUGCUGUUACUUAGUUACUCUGGCUGCUCUAGGGGUGUGGGGAACAGAGGGCCUGAAUUCCUAAAGAUCACUCCUGAGUGAAGGGAGCACACACUACCAUGUUUUCAACUUUUUUAGGGAAGUAAUAUACACAGUGACGCAC
rnacentral:lncRNA from 1 species